UGCAGUCUCCGAGAUGAAAACAAAAGUGAGAAACAAAUACAUCAGAUGAUGCUAUGCAGCUCUGAAGGAAGAACAUGUAUUGCCAGGACUCCAACAUUUGUGCUGUGUUUGCUGUACAAGGAGGAAAAGUGGGAAGAAAGCAUGGCAUAAAAAGGGGGAGGAGACCCAGCAUAAGAAGCCCAGUUCAGCAGGCCAGAGGACCCUGGAUCCAUGAGAGUAAGCAUCUGGCCUUCGCAAAGUAACAGAUAAACUUGGAGAUGCCCAACUCCAGAGCGACAACAGAGUGAGCCUGGGUCUGCAGGUCCCUGACUCUUUCCACUGCUCCACUGAGCCCCCCACCAUCCUUGGUGCACUGUGAAGAUUGUUCUUGCCUGCCUGGCUGCCAUUCGGGUGACCUCUACAAUCUGGCCCCAGCAGAAAGAACUUGCUAGCAGCAUAUCAAUAGCAGAGAUGGAAGUCUGGUCAUAUGGUGCCCACAUCUAUCGAAGUAAACAUGCUGAUACCAGAUAUCCCUGGCUCUCUGUCUUCAAGGCACAUGGUAGAACUAUACUUCCUAGGUUUCUGUGUGGCUGGGUGG
rnacentral:sRNA from 1 species